rnacentral:lncRNA from 1 species
AGUUAUUUACGCAGCAAUCACAAUGGAACAAUUAAGAUAAAAAGAUAUUAGAAAUAAGAGAAUAUAAAUAGAAAAAUCAAGUAGAUUAGUGAAGAGAAUUGGAACUCAUCAAGAUUUCCUUUGUAACGAGAACUUAGUUACAGAAACCCAACAAUUGAACUCUGACUGAAAAUUGCAACAGCAGCAAGAAUUGAUCUGUGGACCAUGAAAAUAGCCUCGAACAAACUUUCAGAACUUGAACAGGACCAACAAAACCUCCUCAACUCUAUUUUUGAAGAUCGUGUGUGUAUGGCUGAAGAAGCAACGAAAGGGUUGCUGUGUCGAGUUGUUCUUUGACGGAGUAUGGGUACGGCUGGUGUUCAAACGAUUGCUGUUGAUCUGGAGUGAAGAAGGAGUGGUGCGAUUCGCUGAGGGGUGCUUUCUGGCGGGUCUGAUGGUGUCUAUGGUGGUUGUUCGUUGAUGGUUAGAGAAGAUGGCAGAGGUGGCGAUGGGAUCUCCAACGAGUUGGAUGGUGUCCAGGUGGGGGUGGGCGAUGCUUACUUAGGUCUCCUAGGUUUAGCUUCUGUAGUGUGGAGGUUUUCUCCAUGGUUAGUUCUCUAGGUGUUUUUUGUGUUCUUGUGUAAUAAGUUGAAGAAGAAGAAGAAGCUAGUAGCAAUGGAUGUCCCCCAAGUUCUGUCGGUGUUGCUGGUUGCUCAAAAUAAAAGGGGUAGUUGUUUUUGAUAAAAAAAAGACGGAUGGGGUGGAGGGGUUGUGUACCGUAUUUCUCUGGAGUGACGGGUGAUGGUUGUUUUUGGGUCUUGAAUAUGGAAGAUGAAGGCUAGGGUUCUGUUGUUGUCUCCAUUGAAGAAGAAGGUAUCCUAAGGUUAAAGAUGAAGAAUAUCCGUGUGUCCGGACGGCCCAUCUCCUCUUUUUCUCUUAGGCUUUUUUUUUUUGGGAUUUUUACAUAUACAUCCCAUAUAGUAAACCUUAUAACCACUCAUGUUUAAGGUUUGUGUUUAUUACAUUUAAGUAUACCACCUUUCAAUUUAUGUACCAGAAUUAUAUUUAAGGUUAAUG